GACGAACGCUGGCGGCGUGCUUAACACAUGCAAGUCGAACGGUAUGGCCCUUCGGGGUACACGAGUGGCGAACGGGUGAGUAACACGUGGGUGAUCUGCCCUGCACUUCGGGAUAAGCCUGGGAAACUGGGUCUAAUACCGGAUAGGACCCUGGGAUACAUGUCCUGGGGGGGAAAGCUUUUGCGGUGUGGGAUGGGCCCGCGGCCUAUCAGCUUGUUGGUGGGGUGAUGGCCUACCAAGGCGACGACGGGUAGCCGGCCUGAGAGGGCGACCGGCCACACUGGGACUGAGACACGGCCCAGACUCCUACGGGAGGCAGCAGUGGGGAAUAUUGCGCAAUGGGCGAAAGCCUGACGCAGCAACGCCGCGUGCGGGAUGAAGGCCUUCGGGUUGUAAACCGCUUUCAGCAGGGAAGAAGCCGCAAGGUGACGGUACCUGCAGAAGAAGCACCGGCUAACUACGUGCCAGCAGCCGCAGUAA
rnacentral:rRNA from 1 species